rnacentral:rRNA from 1 species
ACAGAGGGUGCAAGCGUUAAUCGGAAUUACUGGGCGUAAAGCGCACGCAGGCGGCUGCAUAAGCCGGUCGUGAAAUCCCCGGGCUUAACCUGGGAAUUGCGAUCGGGACUGUGCGGCUAGAGUGUUGGAGAGGACAGCGGAAUUCCCGGUGUAGCAGUGAAAUGCGUAGAUAUCGGGAGGAACAUCAGUGGCGAAGGCGGCUGUCUGGCCAAACACUGACGCUCAGGUGCGAAAGCGUGGGGAGCAAACAGGAUUAGAUACCCUGGUAGUCCACGCCGUAAACGAUGAGAACUAGACGUCGGAGGGGUCUGCUCUUCGGUGUCGUAGCUAACGCGCUAAGUUCUCCGCCUGGGGAGUACGGCCGCAAGGUUG